GUGCAAUAGAAAGAGCACAGAGCCUGGAGUCAGGGAGACUCAUGAGUUCAUUAGUUUUACUUUCAAAUCUGGUCUCGGACCAGAGUCGGGAAGACACGUGUUCUAUGUGAUCUUGGGCAAGACACUUAACUCUAUUCGCCUCACUUUCCUCAUUUGUAAAAUGAGUUGGAAAAAGAAAUGGUAAACCAUUCCAGUAUCUUAGUCAAGAAAACCCCAAGUGAGAUCACAAAGAAUGAGAUACAACUGAAAAUGACUUAACAAUAACAAGUUACUAUUUGCCUGUUUCUGUGCUAGGUGGCAGACUGGAUAGAGCAACAGACCUAGAGUCAGAAGGACCUGAGUUCAAAACCACUUCCUAGCUGUGUGAUCCUGGGCAAGUCACUGAACCAUGCUGUCUGCCUCAGUUUCCUCAUCUAUAAAAAGGAGAUAAUAAUAUUGCAAGGACCAAAAUGAGAUAAUAAUUACAAGGUGGUUUGCACAGUUCCUGGCACAUAGUAAGUGACCUGUGAAGAGUCACAUAGCUAUAAGUGUCUGAGGCUAGAUUGGAAUUCAGGUCUUCCAGACUCCAAGCUCAAAGUUCUAUCUACUGCAUCACCAGCUGCCUCAACAUCUUUAGGCAGCACAAUGUGACCUGAGAUAUGACAAAUUCUGUAGCAAAACAAAGGGGCGUCAAGAUUUUGGUCCACAGAUCACAAAUGCUAUUAACAGCCUCAGAACAAGAGGGGGGAAGCAUUUAGUCAAAACUGAGAGAAAAGCAUGAGGGAGGGUGAAAUUGGUUUUGACUGCAUUCCACAACCACAAAGGGAUGGAUGUUUUUCACCUAGAGAAGAGCCAAACCAUCAAGAGCUGAACAACAGGCUGUGAACUCAAUGAGGGAAAGUGAUGACUGGUUUAGUGCCUUAUGUGUUUGCUCUAGGAAAGAAUAAGGAGACACGACUGCUUUAGGAAGACACAGCCUACUUAAGGAAGGCCAUAUUGCUACACAUCCUUGUCUGAAAGCUGGCCAAAGCAGCAAAAUGGGGGAAGGUCACAAGCAGCUAGACAAGCACGAAACUGGUGGAAAUUCCUGGUGAAGGAGUCAAGGUUCACAGGGGGAUGGUUCUAUAAUCGAGAGCAGACCAGCCUGCAGCUCACAGGAGAGAAGCAUGGGAAAACCGAAGUGUACCCACUGGUGGGAGUCCAGGGGCAUGGAACAUUGCCUGCGAUCAACUUUUUCAUCACAUUGACUGGUUUUGCUGACUUCCUCACCACCUCCCCUUCCUCUUUUUUAUAAGGAAUGGGUGUUGUAUUUUAUCAUGAGCUUUUUCUGCAUCUUUUGAAAUAGUCAUAUGGUUUCUGUUGAUUUUGUUGUUGAUAUGGUCAAUUAUGAUGAACAGAUGAAAAUAUGUUGAAUAUUACUAAUACUGAACCCUCCUUGAAUUCCUGAUACAAAGCUCACCCGGUCAUGGAGUGUGAUCCUUGUCCUAUAGUGCUGUAAUCUCCUUGCUAGUAUUUUAUUUCAAAUUUUGGCAUCAAUGCUCAUUAGGAAUAUUGCCUCUUGUUUCUUUUUUGAAAAUCCUUUGUUAUAAGGGAUGACUCUCUAGAAAGGUCAGGGAGGAUAAAGAUACAAGGCAGAAUAAAAGCAAUUAAAAUACAUGCAUAAAUAGCAAUAAAUUUCAAUUAUUAAA